GACAGGGGGCUCGAGCGUUAAUCGGAAUCAUUGGGCUUAAAGGGUGCGUAGGCGGGUUGCUAAGUGUUCUGUGAAAUCCCCCGGCUCAACCGGGGAAUCGCAGGGCAUACUGGCAGCCUUGAGGCAUGUAGGGGCGGACGGAACUGUAGGUGGAGCGGUGAAAUGCGUAGAUAUCUACAGGAACGCCGAUGGUGAAGACGGUCCGCUGGGCAUGUCCUGACGCUGAGAGACGAAAGCUAGGGGAGCGAAUGGG
rnacentral:rRNA from 1 species